UACGGAGGGUGCAAGCGUUAUCCGGAUUCACUGGGUUUAAAGGGUGCGUAGGUGGUUUUGUAAGUCAGCGGUGAAAGCCCGGAGCUCAACUCCGGAACUGCCGUUGAUACUGCUCAACUUGAAUCAAGUAGAGGUGGAUGGAAUAAUACAUGUAGCGGUGAAAUGCUUAGAUAUGUAUUAGAACACCGAUUGCGAAGGCAGUUCACUAUGCUUGUAUUGACACUGAGGCACGAAAGCGUGGGGAUCAAACAGG
rnacentral:rRNA from 1 species